UCAAACAAUGAAACUAUGGUUGGAAAUGUUGGUUUUUGCACUGGUUAUUGCUGAAUGUAGACCAGAGGAUACAGUUGAUCAGCCAGAUAAACAUGUAACUGAAGCUGAAGGAGGAUCAGUCACAUUACAAUGCAAAUAUACUGCAACUACAACAGCACCAGAACUCUUCUGGUACAUCCAGAGAGCAAAUGACAUUCCUAAAUACAUGCUGAGGAAAAGCAAAUACGGAGGACAUCAGGCCACUGAGUUCCAGGAGAGAUUUCACUCUGAAGUAUCAUCAGAUUCAGUUCCACUGAUGAUCAAGAAUCUGCGUGUGUCUGACUCUGCUGUGUACUACUGUGCUCUGCAGCCCACAGUGACUGAAACACACUCAGCUCUUACAAAAACAAAGCUUGCUCUAUGUGUGUUUUCUGACACCAUUGGACCAAAUGAAGAGGAUGAGUAUAAUCAGGAAAAACAGAGAGUCUGUGACACUGAGAUGCUCAUAUGA